rnacentral:rRNA from 1 species
CCUACGAGGGGCUGCAGUGGGGGAUAUUGGACAAUGGGGGAAACCCUGAUCCAGCGACGCCGCGUGAGUGAAGAAGUAUUUCGGUAUGUAAAGCUCUAUCAGCAGGGAAGAAAGAAAUGACGGUACCUGCGUAAGAAGCCCCGGCUAACUACGUGCCAGCAGCCGCGGUAAUACGUAGGGGGCAAGCGUUAUCCGGAAUUACUGGGUGUAAAGGGAGCGUAGACGGUAAUGCAAGUCUGGAGUGAAAGGCGGGGGCCCAACCCCCGGACUGCUCUGGAAACUGUGUAACUGGAGUGCAGGAGAGGCAGGCGGAAUUCCUAGUGUAGCGGUGAAAUGCGUAGAGAUUAGGAGGAACACCAGUGGCGAAGGCGGCCUGCUGGACUGUAACUGACGUUGAGGCUCGAAAGCGUGGGGAGCAAACAGGAUUAGAUACCCUAGUAGUC